CGAGACCCACGCCAACAGUUGCCAGCAUGUCUCCGGGAUGGUUGGGGGACGACUGUUGGGACCGCCUCUGCUAAAGAGGAGGAAGGAAAUGGGCAACGGUAGGUCAGCAUGCCCGAAUUAUCCGGGCUACACGCGGGCUACAAUGGUCAGGACAAUGGGCAUCAACACCGAAAGGUGAAGGCAAUCUCUUAAACCUGUCCUUAGUUCGGAUUGUGGGCUGCAACUCGCCCACAUGAAGCUGGAAUCUGUAGUAAUCGCGUCUCAAAAUGGCGCGGUGAAUAUGUCCCUGCUCCUU
rnacentral:rRNA from 1 species